UGAGGAAUAUUGGUCAAUGGGCGAGAGCCUGAACCGGCCAAGUAGCGUGCAGGAUGACGGCCCUAUGGGUUGUAAACUGCUUUUAUGUGGGGAUAAAGUGCGUGACGUGUCAUGCAUUGCAGGUACCACAUGAAUAAGGACCGGCUAAUUCCGUGCCAGCAGCCGCGGUAAUACGGAAGGUCCGGGCGUUAUCCGGAUUUAUUGGGUUUAAAGGGAGCGUAGGCUGUCUAUUAAGCGUGUUGUGAAAUUUACCGGCUCAACCGGUGGCUUGCAGCGCGAACUGGUCGACUUGAGUAUGCAGGAAGUAGGCGGAAUUCAUGGUGUAGCGGUGAAAUGCUUAGAUAUCAUGACGAACUCCGAUUGCGCAGGCAGCUUACUGUAGCAUAACUGACGCUGAUGCUCGAAAGUGCGGGUAUCAAACAGG
rnacentral:rRNA from 1 species